GAGGAAAACGUCAGAAUAGCAGUUAUGUCUUUUCGUCUUCUUCAAGCAGCCGUUUUCCUCGUGGCUUUAAGCUACGCUAUGGGACAAUUCAGACGUGACUGCCCAGAUGGAUGCCCGGCUGACUGUGCUAUCAUUAAAGUGCCUGACUUUCUAAGGCUAUGCAUGAGGUGCCAAUGUGACCCAAAUAAUACACAAACACCAUGGGACCCCCCUAAUGACGGCCCAACACAGUGUAGAAGAGGUUGUUAUCGAGUACUAGGUCGGUGUAGAUGCUUGGGAUUUCCAGUUUGAGAUCCAACAGAGGGAAAGGUUGUGUUAUGAUUGAUUUCCUAUUAAGGAAAGAAUGAAGGAAUUGAUGUAUUGAUUAAAGAAAAAGCUUAAAUAUACUUCGUGUCAUUUG